UAGUGGCGAACGGGUGAGUAACACGUGGGCAAUCUGCCCUUCACUCUGGGACAAGCCCUGGAAACGGGGUCUAAUACCGGAUACGACACGGGGUCGCAUGACCUCCGUGUGGAAAGCUCCGGCGGUGAAGGAUGAGCCCGCGGCCUAUCAGCUUGUUGGUGGGGUGAUGGCCUACCAAGGCGACGACGGGUAGCCGGCCUGAGAGGGCGACCGGCCACACUGGGACUGAGACACGGCCCAGACUCCUACGGGAGGCAGCAGUGGGGAAUAUUGCACAAUGGGCGAAAGCCUGAUGCAGCGACGCCGCGUGAGGGAUGACGGCCUUCGGGUUGUAAACCUCUUUCAGCAGGGAAGAAGCGAGAGUGACGGUACCUGCAGAAGAAGCGCCGGCUAACUACGUGCCAGCAGCCGCGGUAAUACGUAGGGCGCAAGCGUUGUCCGGAAUUAUUGGGCGUAAAGAGCUCGUAGGCGGCUUGUCGCGUCGGAUGUGAAAGCCCGGGGCUUAACCCCGGGUCUGCAUUCGAUACGGGCAGGCUAGAGUUCGG
rnacentral:rRNA from 1 species